rnacentral:rRNA from 2 species
UAAUUUAAGUUUUUUAAAAUUUUAUAAAAAUAUUAUUAAAAUAAAAAUAAUUUUAUAAAGUAAUAUUUUAGUUUAUUAAAUAUAAAAAAAUAUUUAUUUUUUACUGUGAAGGAUUAAUUAUGAAAUAAUUUAAAAAUAAAAUAAUUUAAAAGUAAAAAUUUUAUUUUACCUUUUGUAUCAGGGUUUAUUAAAAAUAAUAAUUAAUAUUUGUUAUCUCGAAAAAAAAAGAGUUAAUAAAUUAUAAAUUUAAAUGUUAUAUUAUUUUUUUAAAUAAUUUAUUAGUUAUGAAAUAUAAAUCGGUUUUUUUGAUAUCUAGUUUUUUUAGAAAUAAAUUUAAUUUAGAUAUAAAUAAAAUUUUAAAUUAAAAUUGGAUAAAUUUAAAAUUAUUUAUAUAAAAAUUUUUAGGGAUAAUCUUAGAAAUUUAAAAUUAUAAUUUAAGUAAUUUAAAAUAUAAAUUUAAAAUUUAAUAGAAUUAAUAAUUAUUAAUUUUAAUAAUAUUGUAAUAAUUUAUUAUUAAAAAUUAAUUAAAUUUAAAUUUAAAAUUUAAUAUAUAUAUAUAAAAAUAAAAUUUUUAAUUUAUAAUUAAUUUAAAAUUAUAAUAAAAUUAGUAAUAUAAUAAAUUUAAAAUUAUUUUUUAAAAAUUAAUUUUAAGGAAUUAGGCAACAAUAAUUUUCACCUGUAUAACAAAAACAUGGUUUAAUUGUAAAUAAUAUUAAAUCUAAUCUGCCCAAUGAAUAUUUUUAAAAGGCCGCAGUAUUUUGACUGUGCAAAGGUAGCAUAAUCAUUAGGUUUUUAAUUAAAAUCUAGAAUGAAUGAUUGAAUGAAAGAUUAUCUGUCUCAUUAUUAAUAUUUAAAAUUAAUUUUUAAGUAAAAAAGCUUUAAAUAUUUAUAAAGGACGAAAAGACCCUAUAGAGUUUUAUAAAAAUUUAAAUUUAUUUAAAAUUUUAUUAAAAUAUAAUUAAUUUUUAUUUUAUUGGGGUGAUUUUAAAAUUAAAAUAACUUUUAUAAUAAUAUAUUUCAUUAAUUUAUGAAUAAAAUUCAAAUAUUUGAUUAAUUGAUCUUAUUUAUUUAGAUUAAUAGAAAAAAUUACCUUAGGGAUAACAGCAUAAUAAUUUUGGAGAGAUCAAAUUGAUAAAAUUUUUUAUGACCUCGAUGUUGAAUUAAGAAAAUUUUUAAAUGAAAAAGUUUAAAAUAUUAGUCUGUUCGACUAUUAUAUUCUUACAUGAUUUGAGUUCAGAUCGGUUUAAGCCAGGUCGGAUUCUAUCCUUAAAAAUAGUUAAUUAUUUUUGUACGAAAGGACUUAAUAGUUA